CUGUCAUCGGACCCAGUCAAUAACUGUAUAAUUCAAAACAUACAUGAUAUCUCUCUAAUAUGGUUAUCAUUAAAUGAUUUUGACACUUGAAUCCGGUGAUGAUAUGCUCAAGAACAUUUUGAUAUGAUGAAAUUAUAAACAAUUUUUAAUCACAUUGGUAGUCUGUUCAGUUGGUCGGUACGGAUUGAAUUGUUCAGAGAGCUGCAGUUCCCAUUGUCGAUCUGAAAGUAAUCAUUGUAACCAUAUAGACGGACAUUGUGAACAUGGAUGUGACGAUGGAUUCAAAGGAAAUAGAUGCGAGGAAAUUUGCAUUGAUGGCUGGUAUGGAGAAAACUGCUCUGUACGAUGUAACGAGAACUGUGUCAAUCAGUCAUGUGACCAUAUCACAGGCAGCUAUACAUACGGAUGUAAACCGGGAUGGAGGACCCUCAAAUGCGAAAAGAGUAAGUCUUGAUGUGACGUUUCUUACUAAUAUUCUUUGCAUCAUAUAGCUUUUAAAUAUUUCAGAUUCGGUAUUUCAAAUGAUCAACAAAUUAGUACAACAAUGAUCAAUAAAGUGCAUACCUAUUUUUCCAAAAUGCUUUCUAUAAUACUGUUAAUUUUUAGAAUAUAUGUGCGCUUUAUCUACAUAUGACAUACAUCAUCAUACACGUAUAUUGAAUGCAGUCUGACAUGUUUCUUACCGAUUGUUAGAUCGUUCAUUUUAUGCUAAUUUUGACUACGGAUUACUCGGUUUACUUGAAUAAGAUCUAGAGUCCACGACGGGUGUGAUCGGUCAACAGGGUAUACGUACUCCUCCUUGGUAUCUGAUCUCACCUCUGGUGUUUCCAUGGGUCUGUGUUUGCCCUGUUCUCAAUGUAGUGCUCUUUAUAGAAUUUAUGAGAUUGAUUGUUGUUAGAUGUCCGAAAUUCACUUUUUCAUCUGGCAGGAAAAGCUCGAAUGAUAAAUAAAGUUAUAUUGCUUCCAUCUAAUGUUCUUCUAGAAUGCUCGGUAAAAACGUACGGCAAAGGUUGUGCAAAUCACUGCAGCAGUCAUUGCAGAUAUAUGACAUGUAAUCCAAUCAAUGGAUCUUGUUUGGAGGGCUGUAUUCUCGGUUACUUGGGAAGUUUCUGCAACAAACGUAUGUACUUUAUAAAGGAUAGUAACACUUAUUGUUCAUUUCUCAUUAAUUGCGAAUAUGUUCAUUGUGUAUGUAUUUAAGCAUGUGACGAAGGAACAUAUGGACUCAACUGCGCCCAGAAUUGUUCUCAGAACUGCGUGGGCUUUUGUGAUUCUGUUGACGGAUCCUGCACUUGUUCCUCUGGGUGGACAGGGUUCCCUAAUUGUAGUGAAAUCUGUUCAGUUGGCCGGUACGGAUUGAAUUGUUCAGAGAACUGCAGUCCCCAUUGUCGACCUGAAAGUAAUCAUUGUAACUAUAUAGACGGACAUUGUGAACAUGGAUGUGACGAUGGAUUCCAAGGAAGUACAUGUGAAGAAA